rnacentral:rRNA from 1 species
AUUGAACGCUGGCGGCAGGCUUAACACAUGCAAGUCGAGCGAGAGGCGGACGGGUGAGUAAUGUCUGGGAAACUGCCUGAUGGAGGGGGAUAACUACUGGAAAAGGUAGCUAAUACCGCAUACCAUCAGAUGUGCCCAGAUGGGAUUAGCUAGUAGGUGGGGUAAUGGCUCACCUCGGCGACGAUCCCUAGCUGGUCUGAGAGGAUGACCAGCCCCACCGUAACGGAGACCCGUUCCAGACCCCGACGGGGGGCCGCAGGGGGGAAUAUUGCACAAUGGGCGCAAGCCUGAUGCAGCCAUGCCGCGUGUGUGAAGAAGGCCUUCGGGUUGUAAAGUACUUUCAGCGGGGAGGCGUUACUCGCAGAAGAAGCACCGGCUAACUCCGUGCCAGCAGCCGCGGUAAUAC